rnacentral:rRNA from 1 species
AAUGAACGCUGGCGGCGUGCUUAACACAUGCAAGUCGAACGAUGACGAGGAGAGCUUGCUCGAAUCUGAUUAGUGGCGCACGGGUGAGUAAUAUAUAGGUAAUGUGCCCCUUAGUCUGGGAUAGCCACUGGAAACGGUGAUUAAUACCGGAUAUUCCUUCUUUUCACAUGGAGAGAUGGGAAAGUUUUUUCGCUAAGGGAUCGGCCUAUAUCCUAUCAGUUAGUUGGUGAGGUAAUGGCUCACCAAGGCGAUGACGGGUAGCGGGUUUGAGGGGAUGAUCCGCCACACUGGUACUGAGACACGGACCAGGCUCCUACGGGAGGCAGCAGUGAGGAAUAUUGCACAAUGGGGGAAACCCUGAUGCAGCAACGCCGCGUGGAGGAUGACGCAUUUCGGUGUGUAAACUCCUUUUAUAUGUCAAGAAAAUGACGGUAGCAUAUGAAUAAGCACCGGCUAACUCCGU